AACCCCCCACGCGGCGACAUCUCGCCCAAUUCCCCCAGGGCCGGAAGGCAGCAAGGGUAAGUGAGCUCUGACGGGUGCGUGGGGGGCCUUU
rnacentral:SRP_RNA from 1 species